AAGUCGUAACAAGGUUUCCGUAGGUGAACCUGCGGAAGGAUCAUUACCAAAUCCAAAUACCCAAACCCCAUGUGAACUAUUGUUUAGUCUGUCUUUGGGAGAAGGACAAAAAGAAAACUGUAUAUAUAAAAAUUUACUUUUUUAUAUCCUUUUUCUUGGAGUGUUUCUCCCAAUAGAGUCCGGCGCAAACUUUCGUUUGUGUCCAGAUUCGAAACCCCUUUAAACCACUUGAUUUUUCUGUUUGGAAUUUUCUUUUAUUAAUUUUAAAUAAAAGACAACUUUUAACGGUGGAUCUCUUGGCUCGUG
rnacentral:misc_RNA from 1 species